AUUUGUAGUUCCGUGACAGAAGGACAAGCGUUCCGCCUCUCUCUCUCUCUUUCCCCAAAUUUAUAUAUAUAUAUAUAUAUAUAGGCAGAGAGAAGAAUUGUUGAUUCGGAAGGAUUAGGAGUGACUUUCGGUUGACAGAUCGAGCUUAUCGCGAGGUACCGUAAAAUAUGACCAUAAAACCCACAGUUGCCUUCAGGGCUAUGCUUGUAGGAGGUGUAGCUGCAUUUGCCAAGAUCGCAAGUGCGGUAAAGGCUGCAGGGGGUGUAAAGAUGGGAGCUGCCGCAGCUGCCAUGACAGCUGCAGCAACGGCAGCUAUGUCAGGAUCAAAACCUGAAUCCAAGGACUCUUCUGAGCAAUCUUGAGUUUUGUGUUUUUCGCAGAUGUAGCUAGUCAAUAAUACAACCUCUUCUGGGGUGAAGUUUUUUUCCCAAUAUUGAAGCGUUGAGGAUAACUUAGCCAUGUUGAAACGAAUUCCCCCUUACCAUAGCAUGUGUAAACACUUGGAAAUUUCGAGCUUGAAGGUCCUAAUGUAUUGAAGCCAAAAGGAUUUUUGCUUGAGCUCUGUAAAGGGUCAUAGUCAUGAAUUUUCCAAUGCUUGAGGGCUUGACUGUCCUAAACAACUCAUUGAUCUUUCAUGGCUAGUUGAAAUGGAGAGGACAAGAAAAAAUGUUGAACUAGCGCAUUAUUUAA